rnacentral:rRNA from 1 species
GAUGAACGCUGGCGGCGUGCCUAAUACAUGCAAGUCGAGCGAACAGACGAGGAGCUUACUCCUCUGACGUUAGCGGCGGACGGGUGAGUAACACGUGGAUAGCCUACCUAUAAGACUGGGAUAACUUCGGGAAACCGGAGCUAAUACCGGAUAACAUGUUGAACCGCAUGGUUCAACAGUGAAAGACGGUCUUGCUGUCACUUAUAGAUGGAUCCGCGUCGCAUUAGCUAGUUGGUAAGGUAACGGCUUACCAAGGCAACGAUGCGUAGCCGACCUGAGAGGGUGAUCGGCCACACUGGAACUGAGACACGGUCCAGACUCCUACGGGAGGCAGCAGUAGGGAAUCUUCCGCAAAGGGCGAAAGCCUGACGGAGCAACGCCGCGUGAGUGAAGAAGGUCUUCGGAUCGUAAAACUCUGUUAUUAGGGAAGAACAAAUGUGUAAGUAACUAUGCACGUCUUGACGGUACCUAAUCAGAAAGCCACGGCUAACUACGUG